UCCGAUUUGUCACCGGCAGUCUCCCAUGAGUCCCCGGCAUUAUCCGCUGGCAACAUGGGACAGGGGUUGCGCUCGUUGCGGGACUUAACCCAACAUCUCACGGCACGAGCUGACGACAGCCAUGCAGCACCUGUGCAGGCUCCCGAAGGAGCGCCGGCUUUCACCGGCUUCACCCUGCAUGUCAAGCCCAGGUAAGGUUCUUCGCGUUGCGUCGAAUUAAACCACAUGCUCCGCUGCUUGUGCGGGUCCCCGUCAAUUCCUUUGAGUUUUAGCCUUGCGGCCGUACUCCCCAGGCGGGGCACUUAAUGCGUUAGCUGCGGCACCCAGGGGGUCAAUACCCCGGACACCUAGUGCCCAUCGUUUACAGCGUGGACUAC
rnacentral:misc_RNA from 1 species